GAAGCAUUUGAAACAAAUUUUCUUUAAAAGACGCUUACAAAGCGGAAAAACUAACAAAUGUUUCUAAGACUUUAAGCGAGUAACAACGAAGCCAAAAUUGUUGAGUUUAAAUUAAAUAACAAAAUUUUGAAAUUUAUUACAAAAAAAAUAAACAAAAAAUAACAAAAUAACAAUUGCUAUAAAUGUAAAUUAAAUCAACAAAAACGGAAAAUUUUUAAAACAGAGUUACCAUUGCUAUUCGAGAAAAAAAGUAGUAAAAAGAAAGUGUUAAAACGACUCAAAAAAAUAGCUCAUACUCAAAACGAUAACAAAUACAAAAAAAAAAAAAAUAAGCUUAAGAAAGGUUCAAGAAAGAAACAAAAUUAACAAAAAAACAUCUGCAGCCAUAACAGCAACGAGUGCCAGCCACCGUUCAUAUGCCGGUCUGAGCCAGUAAAAGUCAAUACGAUACCAAACUAAACGGACGUGUUUAACAACGCGUUUUAAAACCUUAAAAACAAGAAACCAAAUUUUGAUUUUAAACUUAAAUUUGUUUGUAACAAAUUAUUUUAAACUCAUUAAACUAAAAACAAAUAUAAAAUGAAGUAUUUAUAUCUGCUC